rnacentral:tRNA from 1 species
GUUUGCGUGUCAGAGAGGCUGAUUGAGCCACCCUGCUAAGGUGGUGUGCGGUAAUACUGCACCGAAGGUUCGAAUCCUUCCGCAAACG